UACGUAGGUGGCAAGCGUUGUCCGGAUUUACUGGGCGUAAAGAGCGCGCAGGCGGUCGUUCAAGUCGCGUGUGAAAGCCCCCGGCUCAACUGGGGAGGGUCACGCGAUACUGAUCGACUCGAAGGCAGGAGAGGGUAGUGGAAUUCCCGGUGUAGUGGUGAAAUGCGUAGAUAUCGGGAGGAAUACCUAUGGCGAAAGCAGGCUACUGGACCGUCACUGACUCUGAUAUGCGAAAGCUAGGGGAGCAAACAGG
rnacentral:rRNA from 1 species